GAUUUCUGGCUUGAAACAUUUUGCCGGCCACGGUUUCGUGUGUUAGUGCUUGAUGUUCUGGCCAUCCUUCCAAUCGCUGUUCACCUUUCUUCAUUGAUGGGUGAGCGGUAUUGGAUCUUUUACUUUGAAAAAAUUAGAGUGUUUAAAGCAGGCGUUUGCUAUGAAUACAUUAGCAUGGAAUAAUAAGUUAGGACUUCGGUUCUAUUUUGUUGGUUUCUAGGACUGAAGUAAUGAUUGAUAGGGAUAGUUGGGGGUGCUAGUAUUCAGCGGCCAGAGGUGAAAUUCUCGGAUUCGCUGAAGACUAACUUAUGCGAAAGCAUU
rnacentral:rRNA from 1 species